rnacentral:rRNA from 1 species
CCUACGGGUGGCAGCAGUGAGGAAUAUUGGUCAAUGGGCGGAAGCCUGAACCAGCCAAGUAGCGUGCAGGAUGACGGCCCUACGGGUUGUAAACUGCUUUUAUACGGGAAUAACGCGCCUUACGUGUAGGGCUUUGCAUGUACCGUAUGAAUAAGGACCGGCUAAUUCCGUGCCAGCCGCCGCGGUAAUACGGAAGGUCCGGGCGUUAUCCGGAUUUAUUGGGUUUAAAGGGAGCGUAGGCGGCAUGUCAAGCGUGCUGUGAAAUGUCCGGGCUCAACCCGGGCCUUGCAGCGCGAACUGGCGAGCUAGAGUGCACGAAAGGCAGGUGGAAUUCGUCGUGUAGCGGUGAAAUGCGUAGAUAUGACGAAGAACCCCAGUGGCGAAGGCAGCUUGCUGCAGCGGAACUGACGCUGAGGCUCGAAAGCGUGGGGAGCGAACAGGAUUAGAUACCCCAGUAGUC